rnacentral:lncRNA from 1 species
AUUUUCCCUUCCCCUUUCUACUUUGCUCUCAUUCCUUCUCUCUGUUCCUCACAUUUUCCAAAUUUAUAUUCUUCAAAUCAUCACAAUUUAACCAAAUCAAACACCCACAUGAAAACUAUACAUCUAAUCAAAGCUAUUUCAUAUUGCAAGCUCUCAUGGUAGAAUUUUGGGGGUUAGGGUGUGUGCUUUGAGGAAGAAGAAUAUUCAUAUUGUAAAAGGUUCUCAUUGAGACUUCUUGAAGGUAUAUUUAUCAAUUUACAACUCAAUUAGUGUAUAUUUACGCAUGAUUACUGUUAGAAAUUAAUUAUUGAGAUUAGAGUAGAUGAAAUGGGGAUUUUAUCGUUAACAUUGUUAGAGAAGUAGUAGAAUGAGUUUCUAAUUCAUGAGAAAAUAUUAUUGAUGAUCAGAUAUGACGCAAGACGUUUCAGAUGCUUCUUUUGGAGUGGUUAGAGAGCAAACUUAGCUGAUUCGUCAUAACACUGAGUUGAUAACGAUCAUUAUCGCAUAUUU